GAUGAACGCUGGCGGCGUGCCUAAUACAUGCAAGUCGAGCGAACGGACGAGAAGCUUGCUUCUCUGAUGUUAGCGGCGGACGGGUGAGUAACACGUGGAUAACCUACCUAUAAGACUGGGAUAACUUCGGGAAACCGGAGCUAAUACCGGAUAAUAUUUUGAACCGCAUGGUUCAAAAGUGAAAGACGGUCUUGCUGUCACUUAUAGAUGGAUCCGCGCUGCAUUAGCUAGUUGGUAAGGUAACGGCUUACCAAGGCAACGAUGCAUAGCCGACCUGAGAGGGUGAUCGGCCACACUGGAACUGAGACACGGUCCAGACUCCUACGGGAGGCAGCAGUAGGGAAUCUUCCGCAAUGGGCGAAAGCCUGACGGAGCAACGCCGCGUGAGUGAUGAAGGUCUUCGGAUCGUAAAACUCUGUUAUUAGGGAAGAACAUAUGUGUAAGUAACUGUGCACAUCUUGACGGUACCUAAUCAGAAAGCCACGGCUAACUACGUGCCAGCAGCCGCGGUAAUACGUAGGUGGCAAGCGUUAUCCGGAAUUAUUGGGCGUAAAGCGCGCGUAGGCGGUUUUUUAAGUCUGAUGUGAAAGCCCACGGCUCAACCGUGGAGGGUCAUUGGAAACUGGAAAACUUGAGUGCAGAAGGGGAAAGUGGAAUUCCAUGUGUAGCGGUGAAAUGCGCAGAGAUAUGGAGGAACACCAGUGGCGAAGGCGACUUUCUGGUCUGUAACUGACGCUGAUGUGCGAAAGCGUGGGGAUCAAACAGGAUUAGAUACCCUGGUAGUCCACGCCGUAAACGAUGAGUGCUAAGUGUUAGGGGGUUUCCGCCCCUUAGUGCUGCAGCUAACGCAUUAAGCACUCCGCCUGGGGAGUACGACCGCAAGGUUGAAACUCAAAGGAAUUGACGGGGACCCGCACAAGCGGUGGAGCAUGUGGUUUAAUUCGAAGCAACGCGAAGAACCUUACCAAAUCUUGACAUCCUUUGACAACUCUAGAGAUAGAGCUUUCCCCUUCGGGGGACAAAGUGACAGGUGGUGCAUGGUUGUCGUCAGCUCGUGUCGUGAGAUGUUGGGUUAAGUCCCGCAACGAGCGCAACCCUUAAGCUUAGUUGCCAUCAUUAAGUUGGGCACUCUAAGUUGACUGCCGGUGACAAACCGGAGGAAGGUGGGGAUGACGUCAAAUCAUCAUGCCCCUUAUGAUUUGGGCUACACACGUGCUACAAUGGACAAUACAAAGGGCAGCGAAACCGCGAGGUCAAGCAAAUCCCAUAAAGUUGUUCUCAGUUCGGAUUGUAGUCUGCAACUCGACUACAUGAAGCUGGAAUCGCUAGUAAUCGUAGAUCAGCAUGCUACGGUGAAUACGUUCCCGGGUCU
rnacentral:rRNA from 1 species